UGUGAUGCAUACGACGGUGUCUGC
rnacentral:piRNA from 1 species